rnacentral:rRNA from 1 species
GACGAACCGUGCGAACGUUGUUCGGAAUCACUGGGCUUAAAGGGCGCGUAGGCGGGCCGCCAGGCCCGCGGUGAAAUCCCCCGGCUCAACCGGGGAAGUGCCGCGGGGACCGGCGGUCUGGAGUGAGAUAGGGGCGUGCGGAACUGUGGGUGGAGCGGUGAAAUGCGUUGAUAUCCACAAGGAACUCCGGUGGCGAAGGCGGCACGCUGGAUCUCUACUGA